rnacentral:rRNA from 1 species
GACGAACGCUGGCGGCGUGCUUAACACAUGCAAGUCGAACGGUGAAGCGAGUGCUUGCACUCGUGGAUCAGUGGCGAACGGGUGAGUAACCCGUGAGUAACCUGCCCAUCACUCUGGGAUAAGCACUGGAAACGGUGUCUAAUACUGGAUACGACCAACCCUUGCAUGGGGUGUUGGUGGAAAGAUUUAUCGGUGAUGGAUGGACUCGCGGCCUAUCAGCUUGUUGGCGGGGUAAUGGCCCACCAAGGCGACGACGGGUAGCCGGCCUGAGAGGGUGACCGGCCACACUGGGACUGAGACACGGCCCAGACUCCUACGGGAGGCAGCAGUGGGGAAUAUUGCACAAUGGGCGAAAGCCUGAUGCAGCGACGCCGCGUGAGGGAUGACGGCCUUCGGGUUGUAAACCUCUUUCAGCAGGGAAGAAGCGAAAGUGACGGUACCUGCAGAAGAAGCACCGGCUAACUACGUG